AGGAGGACUACCCCAGUGGCGGGGCCAGCUCUGGAGCCCUGGAGUCAGCCCCCGCAGGAACUCCGGAGCUCUCGGUCUGCAGGGCCUGGAGGCUCCGGGGCGGG
rnacentral:pre_miRNA from 1 species